UACGUAGGGUGCAAGCGUUGUCCGGAAUUAUUGGGCGUAAAGAGCUCGUAGGCGGUCUGUCGCGUCGGAUGUGAAAACCCGGAGCUCAACUCCGGGCCUGCAGUCGAUACGGGCAAACUGGAGUGUUGCAGGGGAGACUGGAAUUCCUGGUGUAGCGGUGAAAUGCGCAGAUAUCAGGAGGAACACCGGUGGCGAAGGCGGGUCUCUGGGCAACAACUGACGCUGAGGAGCGAAAGCGUGGGGAGCGAACAGG
rnacentral:rRNA from 1 species